CACAUCACUGUUCAUUUAUGGUUCAGAUCUUCAGCAGGAAGAUGAAUCUGAGUUAUUGUAUAUUGAUGAUACUGAUUUCAUAUACUAAUGGACAGUCACUGACCUCCUCUGAAUCAGUGGUGGAGAAACCUGGGAAAUCGGUCACUCUGUCCUGUUCUGUGUCUGGGCUUACUCUUAGCUAUUUGCACUGGAUUCGUCAGAAACCUGGACAAGGACUGGAGUGGAUCGGUUACAUUGGUAGUGGCACGGGCACUAGCUUUGCCCAGUCACUACAGGGCCAGUUCUCCAUCACUAAAGACACCAGUAAAAACAUGCUGUACCUGCAGGUGAAGAGCCUGAAAGCUGAAGACACGGCUGUUUAUUACUGUGCACGAGACUCACACUGA